ACCCGCCCAAUGGGCCGAGGGAGGGAAAGAGGGGAAGGGGAUAAGAAAAGAUAAUACCAUUGCGACGGCAACGCAAAUGGCUCGCGCCAUCACAAGCGCUUCCUUCUCCGCCUCGCCUCCCGGCGCUCCACACCUCGCCCUCCGCCACCCCUGGAUCACCCGGUCGGUUUCCGCCAGCCUCCAUUCGUCUCCGAUCGGGCUCGCGCGAAGCCCCAGACUGCUCGCGCGUGCGACGGCUCCCGUGGCCUGCGCCCCCGACCUCCUCCAGGCUGCAAAAGUUACGGUGGAUGAGUAUGUGAGAAACGGCAUGGUGGUUGGGUUGGGUUCGGGACGCGCCUCCGGCUUGGCUAUAAAGUAUCUGGGCCAGCGGCUGCGCGAGGGAGCUCUCAAGGGCAUUGUAGGAGUCCCCACUUCUGUUUCCAGUGCAAGCGAAGCAGCAAAAGCAGGAAUUCCACUGAACAACUACCAGGAGAAUCUUCAAAUUGAUUUUGCAUUUGAUGAUGCUGAUUUGAUUGAAGAGAGAACACUAAUCGCUAUAAUUGGACGGAGAAAAUUUGAGGGUGGGGAGUCCAUAAUUGAAGAAAAGUCAAUUGUGAAAACAGCUAGUGGACUUGCUUUCAUUGUUGCUGAGAAUCAAUACACAAGUGAUCUUGAUGGAUCUAUUCCAGUCUUGGUUAAUAGUGGUAAUUGGCUGGAGACUGCUGAAGAAAUAGAUGAUUUGUUUCUUGGAGAUGCUGAGGUAUGGAGAAGACCAUCAUCUGGCGAUGCAGGUCCACUGGGGGGUGACUUCCCAUUGGUUACUAGAGAAGGACACCAUGUUCUUGAUGUCAUUUUCACAUCUCCUAUACUUGAUCUAGGUAAAGAAUCAACGACAAGUAGCAGAAAGCCUGGACCAAAUUGACGGUGUUGUGGACCAUGGAAUAAUAUGUGGCAUUCCAUGCACUGUGAUAAUUGCCUCAAAUGACGGAGUAGAAGUUGUCGAUAACUUGUCGAAGGACCGAGUAAUUGACAGCUUAUGAAGUCCAAAGAUUAAUCUAGGAUGCACGUACCAUGGAAGAGGCAUCAUUUAAUUCAUCUGAUUGUGCUGUCCAGGCCUAAAUUGUUUUGACUUCAUCAUUGAGAUGAUAAAUACCAAAUGUUUUUUUUGUUUUUGGAGGUGGUUUGCAUACCCACAGUCACUUCUGAUGGGGAGUGAUGUAAAUGGCUAUAGAAAACCAUCAACCCAUAUGUCUCUGUGCACAUAACAAGCUACGUAUGAAUGCAUUAGUCGUAAUUGCUGGAGUC